GACGAACGCUGGCGGCGUGCUUAACACAUGCAAGUCGAACGGUGAAGGUACCAGCUUGCUGGUUCUGGAUGAGUGGCGAACGGGUGAGUAACACGUGAGUAACCUGCCCCCUUCUUCUGGAUAACCGCAUGAAAGUGUGGCUAAUACGGGAUAUUCUGGGUCUGUCGCAUGGCGGGCCCGGGAAAGAUAUUGCUUCGGUGGGGGAUGGGCUCGCGGCCUAUCAGCUUGUUGGUGGGGUGAUGGCCUACCAAGGCGGUGACGGGUAGCCGGCCUGAGAGGGUGGACGGUCACACUGGGACUGAGACACGGCCCAGACUCCUACGGGAGGCAGCAGUGGGGAAUAUUGCACAAUGGACGCAAGCCUGAUGCAGCGACGCCGCGUGAGGGAUGGAGGCCUUCGGGUUGUAAACCUCUUUCGCCAGUGAAGCAGGCCUGCUCCUUGUGGGUGGGUUGACGGUAGCUGGAGAAGAAGCGCCGGCUAACUACGUG
rnacentral:rRNA from 1 species